UCCGGGCGGACGCCGAGUCCUGCCGCCGCCCGGAUGACCGGUCGACAGGAGUGGAUCGGCAGGAGUGGAGGACCCAAGCACGACGGGUCGCCGGUACGCGCGCAGUGCGCGUCCCGAGCAGCCCUUGGGGUGAAGCCGCGUCAGCGGCCGGGCUACUUCGCCAGCCCGAAUCCGACAGGUCAUCCUUCACAGGCGGCUGACGAAGGGUUG
rnacentral:sRNA from 2 species